GGCCGGUUAGCUCAGUUUGGUUAGAACGUGGUGCUAGUAACGCCAAGUUCGCGGGUUCGAUCCCCGUAUGGGCCA